AUGCAGUGGGGUCUUUGCCUCUCCCGCAGAAGGAGGGGUCAGGCAGGAGGAAGAGGAGACUUCCUGGUUCCCCAAAGGCUAUGCAUACUCUCCUCUCCUGUCUCUCCUUCCCUGCAUGGCCCAGUGAGGGAGGCUGGGCAGAUUAGAUGCAGCUGGUUGGCACCAUGGGCCCAAGAUGAACAAGCCUGUCUCCCUGGUGCUCCCCACAUGGGGUUGGAAGCAAACGCCAGAGGUCAUGCCCAGGCUGGGUGCCAAAGUCAAGAUGGGCAGUCAGUUUCCACUGUCAUCAGGGUAGAAUACCCAUGCCCACCUGCAGACCCUGCCCUACCUACGUCUGAGACCAUCCUCACGAGCAGCAAGUAUCUUGACAACCUCCGUAAUGCCAGCCCUUGGGGCUAGGAUGACUUCCUACCACCCACAGGCCUAAGCCUAAUAUGGCCAGGUCACCCUUAGGGUCAUGUGCCCGCAAGUUGAUCCCUAGAUUGGCUCAGAAAAAAGGACAAGAUUCCUACCUCCGUUUCCCUGCCCAGCACUCCAUUGCCCCACACACCUUGAGCCCUGCUCUGACCCCACUGUCUGCUUAGUGGGGACCCUGGCAUCCUGCCAGUGUUUCCCAGUCCCUUCCCUCGAAGCUGGAGCUUGCAUCCCAGACUACGCAGAGCUUGCCACAUCUGUUGGACCCUGGACAGAGGGUUUGGUUGGUCUUGCCAGGGCCACACCUGCCUUGUUCCUCCGGUCCCAGGACCUUCACCCUUCCAGGGAGCCUGUCAGCUGCGAUCACUGCGGCACCAGUAGGUGUCACACCCGAAUUGUCUCCUUUCUUCCCGCCUCUUUUCAUAUUUAUUCAGUGGACUGGACAGUGUAGGUCAGUGGCUGGAUGAUGCGCUCGUUGCCUUGGUAAAAGCAGAGAAAAGCUAAAAAGGGAGCAGAGGCAGGAAGAGGCCAGGUGUCCCUUGGAAGAGCCCGACAUGGCUGCUCCAGGAGCCAGAGCAGGAAAGGGAGGAGGUGUGAAGGGGCGCUGGUAGAAGGCCCAGUGCAAAUACAGACACCAGCAUCACCAAGCAUGUGUUGCAUGUGGGUUCAAUGUCCACGCCCCACAGUCAGACCACCCAGUUCCAAUAACUUUGGGUGAUCUUAGAUAAAUAACUUAAUGGAGUUCUCUGAGUCUCACCUGAAUUUCUUUAUCUAAAAAAUAGAAAUAACGAAACCUUGGGGGGUUACAAGAAGAAUUACAUGAGACAGUAUACAGACUUUGCCUGUCAUAUAGGAGACAGGAGCCACUCUAGAUGAUAGGAGCCAUUGUUUUAUUGGAAAAUAGAUAUUAAUACAUCCUACUUUGGGUAUAGGAACACCACCUCCAGGAAGCCUUCUAGGCUGGCUUUCUUUCAAGCUUCUAGAGCACUUUUUCAGGAAAGAGAGAGCAAAGGAAUGGGGUGGGUGCAGAUAAAGCUAAGAAACAGAAACAAGCAUGCUUUUUGCACCUACCUGAGGCCAGGCCCUGCGCUAGACACUUGGUAUACUACACCUCAUUCUAUCUACCCAGCAGCCGCAAAGACAAACGUUCUAGUUGGCCCCACAAAACAGUGACUCAGCCUCAGUCACUGGCCUGUGAGUUGCUUCUGCAUGUUUGAUGUGGUGACCUGCAAGGCCCGGCAGGGACACUUCUAGGCAAAUGGCUCAGGACUGUCAUUUGGUGAUCUCAUGGAGAAGAACCACCCUUUUCCAAGGCCGAGGGGUUGUAAGUGGCAGAACGUUGCACUUUUUUCCUGCAGAGCAGCAGGGUGAGGGAGAAGCAGGAACGUGGACUCUGCCAAUCAAAGGCAAGGCCAG
rnacentral:lncRNA from 1 species